UACGUAGGGUGCGGGCGUAAUCGGAAUUACUGGGCGUAAAGCGUGCGCAGGCGGUUUUGUAAGCCAGAUGUGAAAUCCCCGGGCUUAACCUGGGAAUGGCAUUUGGGACUGCAAGGCUUGAGUGCGGCAGAGGAGACUGGAAUUCCUGGUGUAGCAGUGAAAUGCGUAGAUAUCAGGAGGAAUACCGAUGGCGAAGGCAGGUCUCUGGGCUGACACUGACGCUCAUGCACGAAAGCGUGGGGAGCAAACAGG
rnacentral:rRNA from 1 species